rnacentral:lncRNA from 1 species
CCUUCCCUUCCGCUGCUGAGGCUUCCGGAACCCCGUCCGUGCGGACCAAGCUGAGGUCUUCGGCGAGAGUCGGCUGGCGAAGUAGAAGCUCCGGUAGCGAGGCGGCAGCGGGGGUCAGUCAGGCUGCGACGGGGGUGCCUGAUACCCACUGAGCCCACCCGCUCCUGGCACCAGGAGCUUGCCGUGCGAGGUGGCUCGAGUCCGGAGAAAGCAAGUGAAGCUGUGAGGAGUUGGAGGCUUCCAGGGCAAAGCCUCAGGCACCUCCAUGAUCUCGGGCUCCAGCCGCCCUUCCUAGCCCACCACCAAGCCGACCCCAACUACCUUUGCAGCAUGCUCGGCCGCCUCAUGAUCGUCCAAGUGAGAGAAAUCCAAAGAGUUAUCACCCUGUCUUUGGAGUCCAAUUCUGAAGUCCAUCAACAGUGCACCCUCAGGAUUUUAGGUGAGGAAAAAAUUACUGUGAUGUAAAACGGGUGGGUGGGCAGAUGCAGUCUUAUGGCCCUCCCAGUGCAAGCUCAGAGCAAUGUUCAGAAUUGCUUAACUCAUGUUAAACCUUUAUAUGGAGCCCAAGGGUGGUGCUCAAACUCAACAAUGUUUUAUGGGGAAGAAAGGAAAAAUAAAAUGAGAGGAACAUAAAUUGUCACUGUGGGAAUGUGUGUGUGUGAGAGGGAAACAGGGAACCCAAGUGGAUGUUACGGAUGAAGUCACAGGUCACAGAUACUUCAGCGCAGUGUGCUGAAAUUAUCACUGGCUUUGGAAUGCACCUAUUAGGAAGUUUUGGAUGUGUAGUUACAUCACAAGGACACAUGUCAAACUGCGAACCAUUACAGAAUAUAGGUGUUUGUUCUAUAGCUUGUUCUAUAGCUAUUUUUGUGUGAUCUUUUUAACUUUUCUACAUUUAAAAAUGAAAUGGGAGCAUAACUGUGUGUGGGAUACAGAUGUAGAUAAAAAUGGUAUGUGUUCAUAUGUGUAGCUGAUGGUCUAAAGAUGAGGCAUGGGGUGAGACCCAGAGACCCUCACAGAGAGGACAAAGAGAAGUGCUCUGGGGCAUGAUCUAACCAGGAUGACAGUAAGGGUAGGACAGUGAAGCAGGUAAGUGUAGAUUUAUAAUAGUAUAAAUGUCCCACUGUAAAGCACUUUCCUGCAUUGUACAAAUUUUAUUUUGUAAGAGAAUUGUUAUCAUUCAGUUCUAACCAUGUAAUUUCAUUUAUAACCCAGGAGUUAUUUACCAGGGUGUUAUUUAAAUCCUAAAAUAUGCAGAGAUUUUUGUUCUUUUUGCUUAUGACUUAUAAAUUAAUUGUGUUUAGACUAGAGAACAUGAUCCACAUAAUAUAUAUUUUAAAAAUUUGUUAAGGAUUUCUUUAUGGGCCAG